GAUGAACGCUGGCGGCGUGCCUAAUACAUGCCAGUCGAGCGAACAGAUGAGGAGCUUGCUCCUCUGACGUUAGCGGCGGACGGGUGAGUAACACGUGGAUAACCUACCUAUAAGACUGGGAUAACUUCGGGAAACCGGAGCUAAUACCGGAUAAUAUAUUGAACCGCAUGGUUCAAUAGUGAAAGACGGUUUUGCUGUCACUUAUAGAUGGAUCCGCGCCGCAUUAGCUAGUUGGUAAGGUAACGGCUUACCAAGGCGACGAUGCGUAGCCGACCUGAGAGGGUGAUCGGCCACACUGGAACUGGGACGCGGUCCAGACUCCUACGGGAGGCAGCAGUAGGGAAUCUUCCGCAAUGGGCGAAAGCCUGACGGAGCAACGCCGCGUGAGUGAUGAAGGUCUUCGGAUCGUAAAACUCUGUUAUUAGGGAAGAACAAAUGUGUAAGUAACUAUGCACGUCUUGACGGUACCUAAUCAGAAAGCCACGGCUAACUACGUG
rnacentral:rRNA from 1 species